UUGAACGCUGGCGGCAGGCCUAACACAUGCACGUCGAGCGGAUGAAGGGAGCUUUCUCCUGGAUUCAGCGGCGGACGGGUGAGAAAUGCCUCGGAAUCUGCCUGGUAGUGGGGGAUAACGUCCGGAAACGGGCGCUAAUACCGCGUACGUCCUGAGGGUGGAAGUGGGGGGUCUUCGGACCUCACGCUCUAAGUUGAGCCUAGGUCGGAUUAGCUAGUUGGUGGGGUAAAUGCCUACCAAGGCGACGAUCCGUAACUGGUCUGAGAGGAAGAUCCGUCACACUGGAUCUGAGAAACGGCAGCGACACCUAGAGUAAGCAGCAGUCGGGAAUAUUGGGCGAGGCGGCAGUGGCUAAUCCAGGCAAGCCGGGGGUGUGCAGAAGGACUUAUGAUUGGAAAGCAAUGUAAGUUGUGAGGAAGGGAAGUAAGUUUACACCGUGUUGUUUUGACAGUACCAACAGAAUAAGCACCGGCUAACUUCGUG
rnacentral:rRNA from 1 species